GUGCCUUAAACUAAUGAGUAAGGAAAAUUACGGGCCUUGGUGACGCUUGGCUCUGCCUACUCGCAACGGGAACGCGUUCGCCGUUCUCGGUAGGCGCAAUUUUUGACGAGGCACAGGUCGUCCCUUCGAGCUUGCCCUGCCUACUUUUGCAGGAUGCUUGGGAGAAUUGCGAUCUGCCUC
rnacentral:snRNA from 1 species